AUGGAAGCCACCGCCGCCGCCUCCCUCGCACGGACCCUCGCCUCCUCGCCGCUCCCCCGCGGCUCCCGCCGUAGCCGUGUGCGCGUGGCCGUGGCGCCGGAGCGGCGGAGGAGGGGUAGGGCGGUGCUCGUCGUGGCGGCCUCGACGGGCAACUACGUGGUGCCGCUGGACGCCGCACCGUCGGGGAUCACGCGCCCACUCGUCGAGAUCUCGCGCGACCUCAACAAGCGUGUCCCAGAGACCAUCAUGCUCCCCGCCUCCCGCCGCGCCUCCGCCUCCGCUUCCGACCUCAACAAUUGCUGGUGA
rnacentral:rRNA from 1 species